AAACACUGGCAGGCCGGAUAAAUGUCCUCGGCUGGCUGCAUGUGGCCCGCAGGCCGUAGUUGGAGGAUGCCUGAUGUAAACUCCUGAAGCUUCGUACCAGAGUGUAACAAGGCCAGCUCAUCCUUAACUAAAACUGACAGUCAAAUGUUAGUAUCCUACCAUCCUCCUGUUAAGCACAGGAGACAGAACUGAUACAUGUACUGAGCACACAACGAGCGAAGGGGAAAAGAGUGAACAAGGGACUUCAGCCAGGCUCCAUGUUGGCUUAGGAACUCCAUUAAGGGUAAGGGUGGGAUUUGACACUUCAGAUGUGUGAUAAAAGGAACAGAACAGAGAGGAAAGCACCAGCAACAAGACUUGGAUCUCACUGCCCCAGCCACAGUGGAAGAGGAAGCAGUGAGGAGCUGCCCUGGUGAGAGCCCAGGAGAGGUCCAAGAAUCUGGCAUGCUCAUGUGAGUAAAGUCUUAAGGUAGUCCUUCCCUGCCUUCUAGAAUAUAUGGCCAAUUCUUGUUCUAGAAUGUGACCCAAUUGGAUUAGUAGAUUUUUCUAUUCUUGAGGUUGAGCCAGGAGAGAAAAGGGCCCCAGGAAAAGUACACUUGCCUCCUUUAUUCAGGAAAUGUGUCUCUGAAAAUGAAUAUAUCACUAUUCUGAGAUGAAAAUCUUUUCUUCCCCACAUUAUAUCCACUUACCUAUCACUAUUUCUUCUAUUAAAGUGAAGCAAACUCAUAGAGCACAAAAAAAGAUUCCCAAGAACCACUUCAUGCUUACUGAACCCCUGCUUCAUAGCUUGGAGACUGAGUAAUUGGAUAGCUUUGAAAGAGAAGACAAAGUGCCCUCAUGGAGGUACCUUGCUGGGUCUUGGCAGAGUGUGAGGGCAGCCCUGAAGAGGAAUUACACUCAUGAAGACUUCUGAAUUCUCUCUUUGUGAAACCCCGUUCCGUUUGUUGCUUGCUUCUGGCAAACUGAGAGCAUCCUGAGAAUGGGUCAAGGAUCUUUCAAAGGAAUCCCUGCUAGCAAGAUUGAAUCACAUUUCUAAAAGCAAACUGGAACAUUUUUUCAUGUCAGACCAGGAUGUUAUGAGUGGGCGUGACAGGAAUGGGAGAUGGGAGGGUAUUUUUCCAAAAGCAAAAUAUGCCCUAUAGGGCAUUAAUUUUUCGACUUAGCUAAGGUUUUUUGGUUGAUUAGAAUAAAUGCUGCUUCUCUACUUCGUGUC